CAGCCGCCACGGUAAUACGAAGGGUGCAAGCGUUAAUCGGAAUUACUGGGCGUAAAGCGUGCGUAGGCGGUUUGUUAAGUCUGUUGUGAAACCCCCGGGCUCAACCUGGGAAUGGCAAUGGAUACUGGCAAGCUAGAGUGUGUCAGAGGAUGGUGGAAUUCCCGGUGUAGCGGUGAAAUGCGUAGAGAUCGGGAGGAACAUCAGUGGCGAAGGCAGCCAUCUGGGACAACACUGACGCUGAGGCACGAAAGCGUGGGGAGCAAACAGGAUUAGAUACCCCCGUAGUCCCUGUCUCUUAUAC
rnacentral:rRNA from 1 species